rnacentral:rRNA from 1 species
GACGAACGCUGGCGGCGUGCUUAACACAUGCAAGUCGAACGGUGAAGCGCCUUCCUUUUUAGUGGGUGUGGAUGAGUGGCGAACGGGUGAGUAACACGUGAGUAACCUGCCCCCUUCUUCUGGAUAACCGCAUGAAAGUGUGGCUAAUACGGGAUAUUCUGGGUCUGUCGCAUGAUGGGUCUGGGAAAGAUAUUGUUUCGGUGGGGGAUGGGCUCGCGGCCUAUCAGCUUGUUGGUGGGGUGAUGGCCUACCAAGGCGGUGACGGGUAGCCGGCCUGAGAGGGUGGACGGUCACACUGGGACUGAGACACGGCCUAGACUCCUACGGGAGGCAGCAGUGGGGAAUAUUGCACAAUGGGCGCAAGCCUGAUGCAGCGACGCCGCGUGAGGGAUGGAGGCCUUCGGGUUGUGAACCUCUUUCGCCAGUGAAGCAGGCCUGCCUCGUUUGUGGGUGGGUUGACGGUAGCUGGAUAAGAAGCGCCGGCUAACUACGUG